rnacentral:rRNA from 1 species
ACGAACGCUGGCGGCGUGCCUAAUACAUGCAAGUAGAACGCUGAAGGAGGAGCUUGCUUCUCUGGAUGAGUUGCGAACGGGUGAGUAACGCGUAGGUAACCUGCCUGGUAGCGGGGGAUAACUAUUGGAAACGAUAGCUAAUACCGCAUAACAGUAGAUAUCGCAUGAUAUCUACUUGAAAGGUGCAAUUGCAUCACUACCAGAUGGACCUGCGUUGUAUUAGCUAGUUGGUGAGGUAGCGGCUCACCAAGGCGACGAUACAUAGCCGACCUGAGAGGGUGAUCGGCCACACUGGGACUGAGACACGGCCCAGACUCCUGCGGGAGGCAGAAGUAGGGAACCUUCGGCAAUGGACGGAAGUCUGAACGAGCAACGCCGCGUGAGUGAAGAAUGUUGUCGGAUCGUAAAGCUCUGUUGUAAGAGAAGAACGAGUGUGAGAGUGGAAAGUUCACACUGUGACGGUAUCUUAACAGAAAGGGACGGCUAACUACGUG